rnacentral:rRNA from 1 species
GACGAACGCUGGCGGCGUGCUUAACACAUGCAAGUCGAACGGAAAGGCCCUGCUUUUGUGGGGUGCUCGAGUGGCGAACGGGUGAGUAACACGUGAGUAACCUGCCCUUGACUUUGGGAUAACUUCAGGAAACUGGGGCUAAUACCGGAUAGGAGCUCCUGCUGCAUGGUGGGGGUUGGAAAGUUUCGGCGGUCGGGGAUGGACUCGCGGCUUAUCAGCUUGUUGGUGGGGUAGUGGCUUACCAAGGCUUUGACGGGUAGCCGGCCUGAGAGGGUGACCGGCCACAUUGGGACUGAGAUACGGCCCAGACUCCUACGGGAGGCAGCAGUGGGGAAUAUUGCACGAUGGGCGGAAGCCUGAUGCAGCAACGCCGCGUGCGGGAUGACGGCCUUCGGGUUGUAAACCGCUUUCGCCUGUGACGAAGCGUGAGUGACGGUAAUGGGUAAAGAAGCACCGGCUAACUACGUG